GACAGAGGGGGGCAAGCGUUGCUCGGAAUUACUGGGCGUAAAGGGCGCGUAGGCGGGAUGGCAAGUCGGUCGUGAAAUACCUCGGCUCAACUGAGGAGCGUCGAUCGAAACUGCCGUUCUUUGAGGGUUGCAGAGGAGACUGGAAUUCCCGGUGGUAGCGGUGAAAUGUGUAGAGAUCGGGAGGAACACCGGUGGCGAAGGCAGGUCUCGUGGGCAAUUCCUGACGCUGGAGGCGCGAAAGCGUGGGGAGCAAACGGGAUUAAGAAACCCCGGUGAG
rnacentral:rRNA from 1 species